CGGUUUAUGUUUCAAAUGAUUUAUCGCCAUAGGAUGGGACUGCGGCCUAUCAGUUUGUUGGUGAGGUAAUGGCCCACCAAGACUAUUACAGGUACGGGCUCUGAGAGGAGUAGCCCGGAGAUGGGUACUGAGACACGGACCCAGGCCCUAUGGGGCGCAGCAGGCGAGAAAACUUUGCAAUGUGCGAAAGCACGACAAGGUUAAUCCGAGUGGUUUGUGCUAAACGAACCUUUUGUCGGUCCUAGAAACACCGAUGAAUAAGGGGUGGGCAAGUUCUGGUGUCAGCCGCCGCGGUAAAACCAGCACCUCAAGUGGUCAGGAUGAUUAUUGGGCCUAAAGCAUCCGUAGCCUGCUUUGUAAGUUUUCGGUUAAAUCUGUACGCUCAACGUACAGGCUGCCGGGAAUACUGCAAAGCUAGGGAGUGGGAGAGGUAGACGGUACUCGGUAGGAAGGGGUAAAAUCCUUUGAUCUAUUGAUGACCACCUGUGGCGAAGGCGGUCUACCAGAACACGUCCGACGGUGAGGGAUGAAAGCUGGGGGAGCAAACCGGAUUAGAUACCC
rnacentral:rRNA from 1 species